rnacentral:rRNA from 1 species
UACGUAGGGUGCAAGCGUUGUCCGGAAUUAUUGGGCGUAAAGAGCUCGUAGGCGGUUUGUUGCGUCGGCUGUGAAAUCCCGAGGCUCAACUGCGGAACUGCAUCGGAUACUCUCCGGCUAGAGGAAUGGAGGGGAGACUGGAAUUCUCGGUGUAGCAGUGAAAUGCGUAGAUAUCGAGAGGAACACCAGUGGCGAAGGCGAGUCUCUGGACAUUUCCUAACGCUGAGGCACGAAAGCCAGGGGAGCAAACGGG